UGGUCCCCUGCUGGCCAGCCUGUGGCCUGCCAGGUUUCGCUUGUGGACCAGAGCACCCUAGAAGCCUCACCCAAGCAAGUGAGCAGGACUUCAGUAGGCUCAUGCCAUGGAAGCUUCUAGACACUC
rfam:Tupaia chinensis contig187303, whole genome shotgun sequence.